ACCCCAACAGCUAGCCCACCUUCAAAAAACAUCAACCACUAUUAACUACCCCCAAAACAACAACACAAAACACAACAAACCAUUUUUCCACCCCAGUACGGGAGACAGAAAAGGAAACUUGGCGCAAUAGAAAAAGUACCGCAAGGGAAAGCUGAAAGAGAACUGAAAGAACCCAGUAAAGGAAAAAGAAGCAGAGCUUUAAACUCGUACCUUUUGCAUCAUGACUUAGUCAGCACCCCUCAAGCAAAGAGCCCUUUAUGUUUGAUCCCCCGAAACUAAGCGAGCUACUCCAAGACAGCCUAUUGUAGGGCAAACCCGUCUCUGUGGCAAAAGAGUGGGAAGAGCUUUGAGUAGAGGUGACAGACCUACCGAGCCUAGUUAUAGCUGGUUGCCUGAGAAUUGAAUAGAAGUUCGACCUUUUAACUUCUCUACCCCAAUAAGGACCGCCUUCCCCUGGCUAAGAGAAACUUAAAAGAGCAAUUCAAAAGAGGGACAGCUCUCUUGAAAAAAGACACAACUUUAAUAGAAGGUUAAAGAUCAAAAGAUUUAAGGUUAAAUACCCAGGUGGGCCUAAAAGCAGCCAUCCUAAUAAAAAGCGUUAAAGCUCAAGUAUUCUCCUCCUAUAAUUUCGACAACAACAUCUUACACCCCUUCACAUAUCAGGCCCUUCCAUGCAAGCAUGGAAAAGACACUGCUAAUAUGAGUAAUAAGAGAGGUCUCUUAGCCUCUCUCAAAUGCAUCUGUGUACAUCAGAACGAACCCUCACUGAAAAUUAACGUCCCCAUAAACAGAGGGCACUGAGCAAAACUAACUAAAACUAGAAAAUCUCCCAAACAUUAACGUUAAUCCCACACAGGAAUGCCGCAUGAAAGACAAAAGGAAAAAGAAGGAACUCGGCAAACACUGGCCUCGCCUGUUUACCAAAAACAUCGCCUCUUGCCCACACAAUUAUAAGAGGUCCCGCCUGCCCUGUGACUAGAAGUUUAACGGCCGCGGUAUUUUGACCGUGCGAAGGUAGCGUAAUCACUUGUCUUUUAAAUAAAGACCUGUAUGAAUGGCAUAACGAGGGCUAAACUGUCUCCUUUCUCCAGUCAAUGAAAUUGAUCUUCCCGUGCAGAAGCGGGAAUAAAUACAUAAGACGAGAAGACCCUAUGGAGCUUCAGACAAUAGGACAGACCAUGUUAAAACCCCUAAACAACCAGGAUCAAACUAAAUGGCCCCUGCCCUUAUGUCUUUGGUUGGGGCGACCGCGGGGUAACAUUAAACCCCCACGUGGAAUGGGAAACUCCUCCCCAAAGCCAGAGCCACAGCUCUAACAAACAGAAAAUCUGACCAACAAGACCCGACAAUAGUCGAGCAACGGACCCAGUUACCCUAGGGAUAACAGCGCAAUCCCCUUCUAGAGCCCAUAUCGACAAGGGGGUUUACGACCUCGAUGUUGGAUCAGGACUUCCUAAUGGUGCAGCCGCUAUUAAGGGUUCGUUUGUUCAACGAUUAAAGUCCUACGUGAUCUGAGUUCAGACCGGAGAAAUCCAGGUCAGUUUCUAUCUAUGAAACACUCUUUUCUAGUACGAAAGGACCGAAAAGAGGGGGCCUAUGCCUUAAAUAAGCCCCACCCUAAUCUAAUGAUACCCACUAAAAGAGGUAAAAGGGAGUACCCCUUACGCCCGAGAAAAAGGCAA
rnacentral:rRNA from 1 species